UUGGCACAGCUGCCUGAGGAAGCCUCACAGGUACCAAAAAAAUUGUUGCCUCAGGGUGAAAGAUGUCUUCAAACUGUUCAAAAGAUGUAAUGUCAGAAAAGGUCCUGGAAGAGGUCCUUUUUUCUCUUUGCAAAGGACAACUGUAAAUCCACACAUCCAUGUCAUGUGUGGUGUCCAGACAGGAACUCAGACUCCCCUCACCUUCAAGUUUAAAGAGAAGAAAGGGGAGAGCAGCAGUGAGCCCAGAAAGUUCCAGGGCAGCCUGAGAGAUGAGAAGUCUCAACUCUCUGUCAGGCAAUGGAAAACUGGGAGCAGUGAAGUGUUGAGGAGCUAAAACUCAUCUUUGCCCAUCACAGGCUGCCAGCAGUCCUGCCUUGUAAAGCAGGGAGUGCAAUGAAGAAGGGCAUGAGGGUGCAGUGGAAAUGAUGCUGAAACAGAACAGCACAUUAUAAGAGAAGAAAUAAUUGAAAUGGGCAUCAAAUCCUGAUACAUGGAGGUGUCAGUGCAGCAGAAAGGAAAGAUACAGUAAGGUUAUUACCUGAAUGCAGGGGCAGUGAAAACGCUGCUGUCAAUCUGCCCAUAUCAGCGGUUGCCUCUUAGCAAGCAGUUAAAUUAUAAAUAUUCCUGAGGCUAUAAAGCUGUUGAAAAAGGCAAAACCAAAAUGAUGGCAGUUAUGUGCUUUCCACAACAAACAGCCAAAUUAUACGAAACAAGGGAAAGAAAAAUGACACAAACAAAUUGUCUGAACAGAGAUUAAGGGCUUUAAAUUUAUUUACUGUAUAAACAGAGCACAUCCACGUGAGAUACAUGAUCACAGGCUAUAAAUACUUCCAAGUUAAUAAUGAAAAAUGGAAUUACUUACCAGCUGUGUUAACAGACAGCCCUUGCAGCUUGCAAUGAGGGAAAAACCCUAAUGUUAAAAGAUAAUUAUAAGCUUCAGAACCUUCUUAAAACUUAGCUGUUCCUGUUGACAGUGCUGUCCCUUUCUGAAAUCAUAUUUAUGGCAGACCUGUAGGAAAUGUAGUGUUGCUAUCAAUACGAUCAGCCCACAGACUUUGCUCUGCACUUGGGAGGCCACAAAACUGAGGCACAUCAGGUUUCCUUUGCUCCAUUUCAUCUUGACCUGCCUGGAGCUUUGUUUUAACUUGUUUUAGCCCCAACAGUGAUUUUUCCUAGUGUCCAGUUGGCUAUGGCCAAUCUGUCUUACUUUUGCCAGCCUUGGUACAGUGUAACCACAGCUUCUGGGCAAGGUGGCAAUCAGAGGGAGUUAUUUUGUGGAGAAUGAGGUAUUUAAUACUCUAGUGCAGUGAAGGAAUUUAUGACUCCAUGGAGUGGUGCAGAGCAGGGCAGGCACGGAAGGAGAGCAGUGGUGACAGAGGGGAAGUCAUGGGGUGGGUACGAGGCAUGGCAGAGGCUGAAUAUUAAAAAAUGUAAAAAAAAAUUGCUCCCCCAAGGUGAAUCAAAAUAAUCAGAAUGGCAAGGAGGAAAAAUAAAGCUCAUCCUAUUGAAGCA
rnacentral:lncRNA from 1 species